rnacentral:rRNA from 1 species
UACGUAGGUGGCAAGCGUUGUCCGGAUUUACUGGGCGUAAAGGGCGCGUAGGCGGCCUGGCAAGUGGAAGGUGAAAUCCCUCGGCUUAACCGAGGAACUGCCUCCCAAACUGCUUGGCUUGAGACCAGGAGAGGUGAGUGGAAUUCCCAGUGUAGCGGUGAAAUGCGUAGAUAUUGGGAGGAACACCAGUGGCGAAGGCGGCUCACUGGACUGGUACUGACGCUGAGGCGCGAAAGCGUGGGGAGCAAACGGG